GGGCGCGUAGCUCAGCGGGAGAGCGCUCGCUUCACACGCGAGAGGUCGCUGGUUCGAAACCAGCCGUGCCCA
rnacentral:tRNA from 8 species